GACCAGAAACACAGUGUGUCAGUGCGA
rnacentral:piRNA from 1 species